AGCAGGCUGUCCAGAGGAAAUGCUUUAAGAUCCCGGAGACAUAAAGAGCCAGAGUGACUUACUCCUGCAUUACUGUCUAAAAGGCCAUAGAAUAAGGAGUUGAGGUUCAUAUAAGCCCUCUGUGGUAGAACCCUGUAUGACGUGGAAUCAGUAGAGCUCUCCAAACCCACACUUCCCGCAGCCAGCUCCUACUCCAUUCAGAUGGGAUCAUUUCUAGCAGUGUCCACCAGGGUCACCCCCUCCCCCAGUCACCAUGACAAUACAGGAGGAGAAGGAACGUGCAUACAGCAGCAUCAUCACACUCCUGUGCUGCAGCUUAAAUCCAAAUCAGAUUCACAGUCAGUGAUGGGAGAUACUUAAGGAAUUGAAGGAACCUCACGAAUCAUAUAUA